UACGGAGGGGGCAAGCGUUGUUCGGAAUUACUGGGCGUAAAGGGCUCGUAGGCGGCCAACUAAGUCAGACGUGAAAUCCCUCGGCUUAACCGGGGAACUGCGUCUGAUACUGGAUGGCUCGAGUUUGGGAGAGGGAUGCGGAAUUCCAGGUGUAGCGGUGAAAUGCGUAGAUAUCUGGAGGAACACCGGUGGCGAAGGCGGCAUCCUGGACCAACACUGACGCUGAUGAGCGAAAGCCAGGGGAGCAAACGGG
rnacentral:rRNA from 1 species